rnacentral:snRNA from 1 species
ACCUUUGCAUAGUGGCAGUAUCGUAGCCAAUGAGGUUGAUCUGAGGCGUGAUUAUUGCUAAUUGAAAACUUUUCCCAGUACCCCGCCGGGAUGACUUGCAGUAUAGUCGGCAUUGGCGAUAUUUGACAGUCUCUACGGAGA